UUCCUUCCUGCCCUGUUUCUGAAGCUGAAAACCACAGGGGCCAUUUGUGCAGCUCUGAAUCAUGUCUUCCUGGGAAGCCUGGCAAGGUGAAGGCGGCUCCAGGGCCCCACUAUUCUGCAAUAAAAGCAGGAGCUAUUGCCCAGGCUCUGUGUUCGUAGCCAGCAGUGGGGACCUGGAGGCUAGUGACCGCAGCCACCUGAACCUGUUCCCUAGGGUGGCCACGAGGUCUCCAGGAAGUGCAGGUGGGAGUUUCCAAAAUGAUACAUGCACCGUUUCUGAGUGUCUCUGACUUGCGAGGAAUAAACAGCUGCGUUCUCCCUGAA
rnacentral:lncRNA from 1 species